CCCAGUGUGAUUCGUCACACUAUCAUUAACUGAAUCCAUAGGUUAAUGAGGCGAACCGGGGGAACUGAAACAUCUAAGUACCCCGAGGAAAAGAAAUCAACCGAGAUUCCCCCAGUAGCGGCGAGCGAACGGGGAGCAGCCCAGAGCCUGAAUCAGUGUGUGUGUUAGUGGAAGCGUCUGGAAAGGCGCGCGAUACAGGGUGACAGCCCCGUACACAAAAAUGCACAUGCUGUGAGCUCGAUGAGUAGGGCGGGACACGUGGUAUCCUGUCUGAAUAUGGGGGGACCAUCCUCCAAGGCUAAAUACUCCUGACUGACCGAUAGUGAACCAGUACCGUGAGGGAAAGGCGAAAAGAACCCCGGCGAGGGGAGUGAAAAAGAACCUGAAACCGUGUACGUACAAGCAGUGGGAGCACAGAGCAAUCUGUGUGACUGCGUACCUUUUGUAUAAUGGGUCAGCGACUUAUAUUCUGUAGCAAGGUUAACCGAAUAGGGGAGCCGAAGGGAAACCGAGUCUUAACUGGGCGUUAAGUUGCAGGGUAUAGACCCGAAACCCGGUGAUCUAGCCAUGGGCAGGUUGAAGGUUGGGUAACACUAACUGGAGGACCGAACCGACUAAUGUUGAAAAAUUAGCGGAUGACUUGUGGCUGGGGGUGAAAGGCCAAUCAAACCGGGAGAUAGCUGGUUCUCCCCGAAAGCUAUUUAGGUAGCGCCUCGUGAAUUCAUCUCCGGGGGUAGAGCACUGUUUCGGCAAGGGGGUCAUCCCGACUUACCAACCCGAUGCAAACUGCGAAUACCGGAGAAUGUUAUCACGGGAGACACACGGCGGGUGCUAACGUCCGUCGUGAAGAGGGAAACAACCCAGACCGCCAGCUAAGGUCCCAAAGUCAUGGUUAAGUGGGAAACGAUGUGGGAAGGCCCAGACAGCCAGGAUGUUGGCUUAGAAGCAGCCAUCAUUUAAAGAAAGCGUAAUAGCUCACUGGUCGAGUCGGCCUGCGCGGAAGAUGUAACGGGGCUAAACCAUGCACCGAAGCUGCGGCAGCGACGCUGAUGCGUUGUUGGGUAGGGGAGCGUUCUGUAAGCCUGUGAAGGUGUGCUGUGAGGCAUGCUGGAGGUAUCAGAAGUGCGAAUGCUGACAUAAGUAACGAUAAAGCGGGUGAAAAGCCCGCUCGCCGGAAGACCAAGGGUUCCUGUCCAACGUUAAUCGGGGCAGGGUGAGUCGACCCCUAAGGCGAGGCCGAAAGGCGUAGUCGAUGGGAAACAGGUUAAUAUUCCUGUACUUGGUGUUACUGCGAAGGGGGGACGGAGAAGGCUAUGUUGGCCGGGCGACGGUUGUCCCGGUUUAAGCGUGUAGGCUGGUUUUCCAGGCAAAUCCGGAAAAUCAAGGCUGAGGCGUGAUGACGAGGCACUACGGUGCUGAAGCAACAAAUGCCCUGCUUCCAGGAAAAGCCUCUAAGCAUCAGGUAACAUCAAAUCGUACCCCAAACCGACACAGGUGGUCAGGUAGAGAAUACCAAGGCGCUUGAGAGAACUCGGGUGAAGGAACUAGGCAAAAUGGUGCCGUAACUUCGGGAGAAGGCACGCUGAUAUGUAGGUGAAGUCCCUCGCGGAUGGAGCUGAAAUCAGUCGAAGAUACCAGCUGGCUGCAACUGUUUAUUAAAAACACAGCACUGUGCAAACACGAAAGUGGACGUAUACGGUGUGACGCCUGCCCGGUGCCGGAAGGUUAAUUGAUGGGGUCAGCGCAAGCGAAGCUCUUGAUCGAAGCCCCGGUAAACGGCGGCCGUAACUAUAACGGUCCUAAGGUAGCGAAAUUCCUUGUCGGGUAAGUUCCGACCUGCACGAAUGGCGUAAUGAUGGCCAGGCUGUCUCCACCCGAGACUCAGUGAAAUUGAACUCGCUGUGAAGAUGCAGUGUACCCGCGGCAAGACGGAAAGACCCCGUGAACCUUUACUAUAGCUUGACACUGAACAUUGAGCCUUGAUGUGUAGGAUAGGUGGGAGGCUUUGAAGUGUGG
rnacentral:rRNA from 1 species